rnacentral:rRNA from 1 species
UUAACGGCCGCAGAAACCUAACUGUGCUAAGGUAGCGUAAUUCCUUGCCUUAUAAUUGAAGGCCAGUGAACGGUUACACGAGAAUUAAUCUGUCUCUAAUAAUUAUAAUAAAAAUUACUCCUUAAGUGAAAAAUCUUAAAUACCAAUGAAAGACGAGAAGACCCUACAGAGUUUAACUGCACAACCACACCCAAAAAAAUCCACGAUAUGUAUCUCACAGUUUAAUUGGGGCAAUCCGGGAGCAAACCAAACCUCCCCCGCUUACAAACCGGCUAGUACUUCGACCUACACAAAUAACUUACGAAAAAACUACCUUAGGGAUAACAGCAUAAUAUUAUUGAAAAGUACACAUUAAUAAUAAUGAUUAUGACCUCGAUGUUGGAUUAGGAUAACCACAAGAUGCAGGCGUCUUUUACAGUAGGCCUGUUCGGCCUUAAAAAUCCUAC